rfam:Gossypium arboreum cultivar AKA8401 contig_46692_1, whole genome shotgun sequence.
GUACCAUGAUGUGGACACUUCCAUAACGACUCCUUGAAAUGUUCCGAUGCCUCAUAUAAGAAUUCAUCAUCGUAUUGUUGCAACAUAGUAAUUUCAUUCCUAAGCUU